AAAAUUAUCUAAAAAUAAGAGAAACCGAAUCAGUUGUUUAACGAGAAAGCUAGACUAUUGGAAAUUAAUUGGAAAAUGAGUUCGCAAGACUUAUCCGUGCAAUGAAAUGAACAGACCGAGAAAUAUUCCCACCGAUAAAUAAAAAGUUAUCGUACACAACACUCGUGUGGCUGGUGGCCAGUGGGGUCCUCUCUGCUACUGGUGAUGAUGAUUUUAGCACCUUUUAUGAGCAAUUUGAUGUGCCCAAAAUAAAACAAUGUGAACAGAUCACAGGAGAGUUGAGCCGGUGCCACAAUUGUUACAGAUGUGACGCAGAGGAAGUCAAGAAUCGUGUCAUCAGGAAUCUAACUUUCAACGAUCAACAUUGCAACUCUGCUGCAGAAAUAUGCUGUAUACCACAAAGCGACCUGAAGGCUACCAGUGAGAGAGCAAGUAAAAAUUGUGGAGUGACUUAUCGAGAGGGCUUUCCACGCAAGAGGCGACCCAGCUUGAAAUAUGUUCUGCCCGGCCAGUAUCCUUGGAGGGCGUGGAUCUAUGACACAAUACAGGAUUUUAAGCCGCUGUGCGCCGCUACGUUGAUCGACCGCAGCAGCCACGCCCUCGUCACCCUAGCUUCUUGUCUCCAGGGCAGAGACAAAGAUUCAAUUAAAAUUAAAUUCAGCAGAAAUCAAACAGCCUCUGAAGAUGUUGAGGGGAUUUACUUUUCGGGUGGCCUGAAUAAAUUUGACCAUGAAAAUGAGCUGGCCAUCAUCACGACUCGGAAGCUGAGUUCUAAGUGGGUGAGGGAGGCGUGCCUCUGCCCGAACCCGCCACAAAUAUCGAGUAGAUGUGUGAUGGUCUCCGCAGACGAUCACCAGGUAAUUCCAAAUGUGCCCAAACAGGAGCACUGUCUGGAGGAUAGCUCAGCUCCUCCUGCAGGCAUGGGCUGCGUGAUCACCCCGAAGCAAGAAUACGAGCCAGAGCUAGGCGGCGGACUGUUCUGUAUCGAUGAGAGUACCCACAGACAUACAUACAGUGUGAACGGCGUGACGAUCCGCAGGAGCCACGGGAACGUCGUGCUCGUCACCGAGCUGUCACAUUACAUGGACUGGAUUGACAAGAAGCUCAAACAACUAAAUAACAACCGAAAGAAACACAAAACAUAACAUCCUUUGGCUUAACUAAUAAUAUAAUAUAUAUAUA